GAUAACCAGGUACGAGUACCAUCCACCGCCUCGCUCGGUUCCAGAAACUUCCCUUUGCCUUUGCCCGAAACUUGCUCGGCAUACUUGGCGGCGUAAACCCUUCUGAUCGGCCGCUUCAACUUCUCCAAUUAUCCACCCUACGAUUUUUAUUUUCAGGCAAAAGCAGAUUCGUAGGAAACGAAAAUGUUCAAGAAGCCAGUGGAGGCCAAGACGCAGCAGCGGCUGUCAGGUGCCGAUCGUAAGAAGUUGAAGAGAACCGUUAAAGAACGCUUCCCCAAUGCCUCCGAUGCUGAUUUCGAUGCCUUAUUGCCCCCCAAGGCAGAGAUAACGGUUGCGAAGUUCCCAAAUCGAGUUCAUGUGUAUGGUCUGGAGGGUGAUUGUCCUAUAUUUUUUGAUGUUGAUGGUCGAGGCAAUGAAGUAUUCCCUACAGUUUAUGCUCUCUGGAAGGUCCCUGAAAUGUUGCCUGCAUUUUUUCUGAAAGGGGGUGAGGUUUCUCGUUUUAUCCUUGGAGGAGCGGAUUUGAUGUUCCCUGGUAUUUACAUCCCUGAAGAAGGUCUACCAUCAUUUUUAGCUGGGGAACCAUGGGCAGUGAAAGUUCCUGGAAACCCGGCACCAAUUGCUGUUGGGAUCACCACCAUCAGAAGUACGGAAGCUUUAAAAGCUGGUUUGCGCGGAAAGGCUUUGAGAAUACUUCAUUAUUACCGAGACUCACUUUGGGGCUUGGUUGAAGGUCAUUAUGUUCCGAAUGCUGGUUUUCUAGAAGACGUUGUUUUUGAAAAUCCUUCUUUGUCAUCUACUUCUCAAACUUCUGAUUUGUAUGAAUCUGAUGCCUUAAAUGAUCAAGAAAACAGCAUAAAAAAUCAAGAAGCAGGGGAUGGCAGUGAUGCUAUAGAUGCUUCUUCUGACCAUGAUCCUGCUUCUGUAGCUCAUACUGAUUUGAGGGACAAUAUUGUUGAACAAGCAGUUGUGGUGGAUGUGGAUGAUCUAAAAUUAACUAAGAAUGUGUCAACUGACAAAUUAAAUGUUGAGGACCAGCAUAGUCUAUCUACUGAUGAUAUAGAUGCACUUUUGGACAAAUGCCUUUUGCAAGCAUUGCAUACAACAGUGAAGGAUAAAGAUCUUCCCAUUUCUGGAAGUACAUUAUGGUCAAGUCAUGUAUUACCUUCUAGACCUUCAGGUCUCAGCUUGGAUAUCAAGAAGUCAUCAUAUAAGAAAUUAUCCAAGUGGUUACAAUCCAAAUCGUCUGCAGGAUUGAUGUCAGUAAAAGAAGACAAGCAUAAGAAAGAGGUGACUCUAGUUUCAGUUAACCGCAAUCAUCCAGCCUACACUUCCUUCAAGCCAGAGAAAAGGAGAGUGGAGAAAAAUGAGCAAACUGCUGAUCACAAUACCAGUGAAGGACGAUCCUGUAAAGUAUUGGAAGUGGUGGAGAUCUAUAAACCAAGUGUGCAUGUCAAUCGCAUUUUUGCUUCUGUAGGAGCUGAUGCAGGUAAAUUUUACAGUGCCUCAGAAGCAAGUGAAGUUGUAUUCAGGUAUGUCGAGCAAGAAAACCUAGUUAAACCAAUGGAUAAGUCCACUGUGGUUUUGGAUGCAAUGCUAUGUGAUGCUUUGUACAAGGGAACCGUCAAAAAAGGCUCAACUUAUCCAACUGAAAUUCAUAAGAAGGAAUUAGGUUCUACAUUCAUAAACAGAAUGCAAGCUCAUCACAGGGUUACUAGAGGAAGUGAAUCAGCUGUCCGCAAAGGUGCGCUCAAAACAAUCCAAAUAAUGACAGAGCGAAGGCAAGGUAACAAGAAGGUGACCAAACUGUCAGGGUUGGAGUCAUUUUUGAUAGAUGCUGAAACAUUGGCAUCAGAGCUGCAGAAGAAAUUUGCUUGUAGCACGUCAGUGGCAGAACUACCAGCCAACCUUAUAAUCAGAUUACAGUGCUCCUGUUAUUCACAGAGAAGGAAAAUGAUGGAGAAAUAAGAGAUACAGUGCUGCAUUUGUAUGGAUGAAAGAAAAGGGUUUGUUAGGAAUAUCAAAACAGGGAGAGGGAGGAGAAAUUAUGUUUGUGUGAAAGGUGGGUGAGGGAGGGAAAGUGGGGGAGGGAGGGAGGGAGGAAUUUUAUGAGACAAAUGAUAGUGUGCACCUUCUACACGCUGCCAAUAAUAGUUUCUUUUGAGUGUAUAUAUGCAGAAUGAAAUCUUUAUUUUAGUAGAUUACCAUAUACAAUAUACAUCUUUUCGCUGGAUGUCUCGGUUGGGGUCCUUGGAUGUGUCUUGGUCCUGAACUCCUUUGUUCUCAUUUCAUCUGGCUGUUUUGGAACACAGGUAAGAAGGGACAUGAAGUUCUGGUUCAGGGGGGUGUUAUCGAUGAUCUUGGGAGACAUCUAGUUGAGCAAUAUGGAAUACCGAAAAGAUACAUUGAAGUAUUUGAUAAAACCAAAAAAUGAGACUCAGGUUUUGAUCGCUUGCACCAUUUUGUGAUCGGAGUGGAGACAAAGUACAUCCCAGAUAAGAAAGCAGUCUCCUGUACCUGUCCAAGACUUGACAGAUUGGGGAACGGUACCUGAUCCCUAUUAAGAGUUAGUACUUAGACAGCUCUAUAAGGGCCUGUUUGGCUUAAUCUCUUUUUUUUUUUUUAGACUUUUAAGCUCUUAUAAUUAUAAGUUGUGUAAAACUUGAUAUUGAGAAGUAUUUAAGUUAAUAACGUGUUUGAAUAAA